rnacentral:rRNA from 1 species
AGUGAACGCUGGCGGCGUGCUUAACACAUGCAAGUCGAACGAGAACGGAAUAUAGCUUGCUAUAUUUGUCAGCUAAGUGGCGCACGGGUGAGUAAUGUAUAGAUAACCUGCCCUUAAGAAAGGAAUAACAGUUGGAAACGACUGCUAAUGCCCUAUAUGCCUUUAAUACAUAAGUAUGCAAGGGAAACGCUUUAGUGCUUAAGGAUGGGUCUGUAUGGUAUCAGCUUGUUGGUGAGGUAAUGGCUCACCAAGGCUAUGACGCCUAACUGGUUUGAGAGGAUGAUCAGUCACACUGGAACUGAGACACGGUCCAGACUCCUACGGGAGGCAGCAGUGGGGAAUAUUGCACAAUGGACGAAAGCCUGAUGCAGCAACGCCGCGUGGAGGAUGACACAUUUCGGUGCGUAAACUCCUUUUAUAUAGGAAGAUAAUGACGGUACUAUAUGAAUAAGCACCGUCUAACUCCGUGCCAGCCGCCGCCGUAAAAC